UUUCCGUAGGUGAACCUGCGGAAGGAUCAUUAAAAAUGAAGCCGGGAAACCGGUCCUUCUCACCCUUGAUUAUCUCAAUUUGUUGCUUUGGUGGGCCGCGCAAGCACCGGCUUCGGCUGGAUCGUGCCCGCCAGAGGACCACAACUCUGUAUUAUAUGUCGUCUGAGUACUAUGAAAUAGUUAAAACUUUCAACAACGGAUCUCUUGGUUCUG
rnacentral:misc_RNA from 1 species